AUGGAUUUUCCAUCAUUCGAUGGCGUAAAUCCACAAUUCUGAAAAGCUAGGUGUGAGAAAUAUUUUGAUGUGUACGGGGUCAUUCCGGAGCUAUGGGUUUGGGUAGCCACUCUCAAUUUCACCGGAAACGCAGCUCAAUGGUUGCAACUCCACGAAUCACAAGGUAACUCCUUCACUUGGGAGUCGCUUUGCACCUCUUUGUGUUCCAAAUUUGGUAGAGAGCAAUAUCAAGCACAUUUUCGCCAGUUCAAUUCUCUUAGACAAAUAGGUACCGUAGGGGAUUACAUGCUCCGAUUUGAAGAAUUGAUGCAUCACAUCCUAGCUCAUAACCCACGUUUUGAUCUGGUGUAUUUUAUUACACAAUUCCUCGAUGGGUUGAAGGGGGAAAUUCGUCUGGUUGUUAUGUUAGAUCAACUGAAAGAUCUGGAUUCUGCCUUUUCCUUUGCUACAUUGCAGGAGGAAUUCAUGGAGGCCAUGCCGCGUCGCAAGUGCAGGCGACAGGACGCUGCCAACCAACGCGCCCCCAGCACCGCUCCCACUCUUGGCGACCGGUGCACCACCGGCGCGCCAAAUGCUGCCCGGGCCACCGGCAGCAGCUGA
rnacentral:rRNA from 1 species